GGGAUAUUGCCAAUGGGCGCAAGCCUGAUGCAGCCUGCCGCGUGUGUGAAGAAGGCCUUCGGGUUGUAAAGCACUUUCAGUCAGGAGGAAAGGUUAGUAGUUAAUACCUCGCUAGCUGUGACGUUACUGACAGAAGAAGCACCGGCUAACUCCGUGCCAGCAGCCGCGGUAAUACGGAGGGUGCGAGCGUUAAUCGGAAUUACUGGGCGUAAAGCGUACGCAGGCGGUUUGUUAAGCGAGAUGUGAAAGCCCCGGGCUCAACCUGGGAACUGCAUUUCGAACUNGCAAACUAGAGUGUGAUAGAGGGUGGUAGAAUUUCAGGUGUAGCGGUGAAAUGCGUAGAGAUCUGAAGGAAUACCGAUGGCGAAGGCAGCCACCUGGGUCAACACUGACGCUCAUGUACGAAAGCGUGGGGAGCAAACAGGAUUAGAUACCCUGGUAGUCCACGCCGUAAACGAUGUCUACUAGAAGCUCGGAACCUCGGUUCUGUUUUUCAAAGGCUAACGGCAUUAAGUAGACCGCCUGGGGAGUACGGCCGCAAGGUUAAAACUCAAAUGAAUGACGGGGGCCCGCACAAGCGGUGGAGCAUGUGGUUUAAUUCGAUGCAACGCGAAGAACCUUACCUACACUUGACAUACAGAGAACUUACCAGAGAGGUUUGGUGC
rnacentral:rRNA from 1 species